AGAACGAACGCUGGCGGCAGGCUUAACACAUGCAAGUCGAGCGCUGUAGCAAUACAGAGCGGCAGACGGGUGAGUAACGCGUGGGAACAUACCCUCCGGUUCGGAAUAACUCAGGGAAACUUGAGCUAAUACCGAAUACGGUCGAGAGGCGAAAGAUUUAUCGCCGGAGGAUUGGCCCGCGUUCGAUUAGCUAGUUGGUGAGGUAACGGCUCACCAAGGCGACGAUCGAUAGCUGGUCUGAGAGGAUGAUCAGCCACAUUGGGACUGAGACACGGCCCAAACUCCUACGGGAGGCAGCAGUGGGGAAUAUUGGACAAUGGGCGAAAGCCUGAUCCAGCCAUGCCGCGUGAGUGAUGACGGCCUUAGGGUUGUAAAGCUCUUUCGCUAGGGACGAUAAUGACGGUACCUAGACAAGAAGCCCCGGCUAACUUCGCGCCAGCACGCCGC
rnacentral:rRNA from 1 species